UACGGAGGGUGCGAGCGUUGUUCGGAAUCACUGGGCGUAAAGGGCGUGUAGGCGGUCCGCUAAGUCUGAUGUGAAAGCCCGGGGCUCACCCCCGGAAGUGCAUUGGAAACUGGCGGACUCGAGUCCCGGAGAGGAGAGUGGAAUUCCUGGUGUAGCGGUGAAAUGCGUAGAUAUCAGGAGGAACACCGGUGGCGAAGGCGGCUCUCUGGACGGUGACUGACGCUGAGGCGCGAAAGCGUGGGGAGCAAACAGG
rnacentral:rRNA from 1 species